rnacentral:rRNA from 1 species
GAUGAACGCUGGCGGCGUGCCUAAUACAUGCAAGUCGAGCGAACGGACGAGAAGCUUGCUUCUCUGAUGUUAGCGGCGGACGGGUGAGUAACACGUGGAUAACCUACCUAUAAGACUGGGAUAACUUCGGGAAACCGGAGCUAAUACCGGAUGAUAUUUUGAACCGCAUGGUUCAAAAGUGAAAGACGGUCUUGCUGUCACUUAUAGAUGGAUCCGCGCUGCAUUAGCUAGUUGGUAAGGUAACGGCUUACCAAGGCAACGAUGCAUAGCCGACCUGAGAGGGUGAUCGGCCACACUGGAACUGAGACACGGUCCAGACGCCUACGGGAGGCAGCAGUAGGGAAUCUUCCGCAAUGGGCGAAAGCCUGACGGAGCAACGCCGCGUGAGUGAUGAAGGUCUCCGGAUCGUAAAACUCUGUUAUUAGGGAAGAACAUAUGUGUAAGUAACUGUGCACAUCUGGACGGUACCUAAUCAGAAAGCCACGGCUAACUACGU